ensembl:lncRNA
AUGAGCUGCUGGCUUACACGGUGCCCAGCUCAGCUCCACAGCACAGCUACAAUGCACCCUUCCCUUCUUGCAGCCCCACAGCACAGCUCCAGCUGCUGUGGAUGCAGAAACCCAGCCAUGCAGCUGGGCUGGGGCUGCACACCCCAUUUUUCCCCCUGUUCCCCUCUUCAGAUGGCCCUGGGGAUGCUGAGAGAUGCUGCACGCCGCAACAUCAGCCUCUGCUGUGCAGGGAACACUGGGCUGCCCCACUGCCAAGGUGGACCGAUGGCUUUGGAGCCACUUCAAACCACUCGCAGCCUUAACAGAGAUAAUCAAUCACUGUGCUCCUGCUCUGGGCCUAGCUGCUGAGGAUGGCUCUCCAGGGCUGAGGGCUGGCAAGGCUGGGCGGGACUGUGCUGCCUGCAGGGGGAACGUCCCCUCGAGGGGACACAGAUCUCGGCUCUGUCCUUCCUGCAGGAGAGCGGUCUGUGCCCCUCUGUGCUGGGAAAUGCCGAAGGAGCCAGGUGUGGGAUUGGUGCAGGGAUCUGCAGGAAAUGCCAGGCAAUAGAGAUACUUUGCCCCAGGGAAAAGGUGUCACAUUCUUCCAGCCGCUGAUAAAGUUAAACCCUUGAUCCAGAAGGCCAGUUUGGGUAGGACGUGCAAUGCUGCCAGUGCUGCCCAGGCACAGGGAUGACUCUGCUGCCCUCCUUCCUGCGGGAAGGCUGCAAGACUGCAGGAUCAGCCCUGUCUCAGGCACAACAGCAUCAGAGCAGAGAGCAUUGCAGCCCUUAGCUCCACUGUUCUGCAGAGAUGGCAUGUGGUUUCCUCUGCAAUAACAGCCUGACUUCAGCAUCUUCAGGGAUGCAGCUUUGGAGAAGAGCAGGCUGCAAAAGCAGGCUGGACCAGCAGAGCCUAUGCUGGAGCAGCUCCAUCCCUGUCUCUGCUGUGGGCUAAGAGCUGCAGCACGCCGAGCCCUGGGGCAGCUGUGAUGUCCAUUCCACCCGGGGGUUUGUGGCACGGUGCAGCAUCGCUGUGGUGGAAGAGCAGUGGAUCCCGAGGAGAGGAGCCCAGCAGAGAUGCUCAGUGCCACACGGGGCCACCAGCACAGCCGGGAGCCCUGGGGACAGUCCCGCGGUGCUUCAUUUAAUGUAUCACAGAAUCACUCAGGUUGGAGAAAACACGAAGAUCUUCUAGUCCAACCGUCAGCCCAUCACCCACGGAGGUGACAAGGAGAACACGCCAUCGCGUGGGGCUGGCGAGCUCCCGGGGAACCCCGUGCUGUAACCAGGAGGACUCCACUCACCGCUGCCUCCCGCCCCGCGCCGCUCAGCCCUUAAAGCAUCUCCCCACCCGCAAACACAGCGGCUGAAACCCGAGCACGAAGGCGGGCGGGGGCGCGGGGUGGCUCCGGCCCUGGCGCCGCUCAUUGGCUCCGCUCCGCGUCCCGCGUUGGCCUUUGGCAGUCCGAGGGCACACAGCCCGCGUCCCCCCCUGACCGCUGCCCUAAUGACACGGCUCGCCCUCCCAAAGGGCAUGUGCAAGCUUCUCCUUGUUAUACUUUACCUAGGCUCUGUUAUCCCCGGGGCUGACGCUGGCGUGGGAGCGUGGUUGGGGUCAGCACGCUCAGCCCCAUAGAGGGAAGGCUUGCGGGACUCCUCCUCUUGCAACGGCCUCAGCUGCCUGCCCCUCUUUGAGGAACGUCAGGAAAUUUCUGGUGCCUGAGAUUAUGAGGGGUGGAGAGAGCAAAAACCAGCUUGUCAGGCACGGCUGGCCGUAUCACGGGACAGAGAGCGUCAUUGCUUGGGGAUGUUGGCUCCUUCUGGGCUGGGGCUGGAGGGCAGCGGUUGGAGGAGGGCCUAUCUGCCCUGGCAGAGGGCUGAGAGCUGCAAACCGUGGCCAACACGUCUUCAGUUAGAAGAACCAGCGGGCCUUGAGCUCUGCCAGCCCUCCUGCUUGCAAAACUCAGGUUUUGAUUUAGAGGGAAGUCACAACCAAUUGAUAGUGAAACUGCACGUUGCUCUGCAAAGAACCAGAGAAGGGAGCGUGCACGCAGCGAGCACUGCAUCCUCUUCACACCACCUGGGCAGGACACGCUCCAUCCCCACCUGAUCGACUUCUGAGGAGGCAGAACAAAGCAGAGAGACAUCUUGUCCUCCUUUGCCAACCCCUGGGGGCUCUCCAUUCUAUAGGGGAAAAGCAACAACCAGCACAGAGAAGUGCUGGGGCUGUGCAAAAGCCCAGAGCAGGCAGGAGCAGAGGGAGCAUCCAAACACCACCACGCAGCCACGUCAACAGCUGUACUUCGUCCCCCAGGAUCCCAUUGGACCCCAGGGGCACAGCCAGCAGCACGUCCCCUCUGCAAGGCGUCCCCGUUGCGCUCCACCCGCGCUGUCCUCCACUCACCUCCUGGCACCAGGGCCUGUCCCCAGCUGGCCUUGCCCAGUUUUGCAGCCAAACGGAGCCCUGUGCAGAGGAGCGGUUGGGCGGUGUGGGCUGUGCUUGGCUUUGCUCUGCUCCUUGGGUGCUCGCAUGCCCAGCUGGGAGAGGUGUUUCUGAAACUCAGGGCUAUGUAGGCUGGAGUUUUGAGCCUUUUACAAAUGAUUCCCAUAGAUGGUUACUUCCCAUUUGAGCGCAGCUCGUAUAAAGGAAAUCACGAGAUACAUGAAGGAGAACCUCACUUGUCAUUCAACAGAUUCCUCUUGUAAGCCCACAUUCAAUGUGAGGCCCUCCAGCCCCACUUCUCCCCUAGCGAGGCGAACACCGCUGCUGGCGGCGCACCUCUCCCUGUACUGCAUGCAAAGGGGCAUUGGGGCUGCACUGCAGGAACCCAGCAGCACAGACCUCCUCUGCAGGAAACCACCCGGGUCCCAGAGCCAUUUCCUGCCUCGGUCACUCCUGCCAUAUGCAGUGAUCUGGGCUGCAAGAAGCACUCUGGGGCACGGAGCUCCUGGGGGAGGGAAGUUUUACUGCGGUGAGGCAGCGUGAAAAGUGCCUUUGGUUGCAGUGCUUCUUAACAGUAAUCAGUACUAAAGCAGCACCGCAUGGGGAAGAGCUUUGGCAGCUUCUCUCUCACUUCUUCCACGUCCCCACGUCCCAGCUCUCACCAACCUAGUGCCACCUGUGACAUCUGUUGGCGCAGAGCUUGGGGUGCAGGGAAACCCAAUGCUGCCGCCGCCGAAGGGUCUGCAAAGAGCCUUUGGAACAAGAGCAAGGAGAGAAUGCUGAUGGGCAGCAAGGCUUGGCUGCUGGGGGAAGGGACCCUCAGCACAGCCAUCAGAACACAGCACAUCCCUCCCCACCUCAUGGCCUUGCCACAUCAGCAGUUGGGCACGCAGGUGUCCGGCACCGAGCCCUCUGAUGGGACUGGAGGCUGCAGCCCCAAGAGCUGCAGGUGCUGCCACUCGCUGAUUGGGCAGCAGCUAAUUCAGGCUGCAGCAGGGAGCCCUGCUCCUUCCCGUGUAAUUGCAACGGGUAAGCAAAUAGAACAUUCGUGAGAUUUUCAUCCCGUCAUCAAUUAUUUCUAACAGGGCUUUUAGCGUGCGUAUGCCUCAAAACCCGAGACAGAAAACGAUACACGUGACAUCGAGAUGCUCGCUGUAGGCACACUGCUGAGACGAAGGCGGCCCGAAAACCUUCCGCCUCUCUCUACCGCCCGCUUUCUGUCCCCCGGAGCAGCUCUCCCGCCCGGGACCCCCACCCCGAGGCCCCGCUCUCCCGCAGCCCCCCGGGACGCGCCCC